rnacentral:rRNA from 1 species
UAGCUAGUUGGUAGGGUAAAGGCCUACCAAGGCGACGAUCGGUAGCUGGUCUGAGAGGAUGACCAGCCACACUGGAACUGAGACACGGUCCAGACUCCUACGGGAGGCAGCAGUGGGGAAUAUUGGACAAUGGGGGCAACCCUGAUCCAGCAAUGCCGCGUGUGUGAAGAAGGCCUGAGGGUUGUAAAGCACUUUCAGUGGGGAGGAGGAUAUUUUGGUUAAGAGCUGAGAUAUUGGACGUUACCUACAGAAGAAGCACCGGCUAACUCCGUGCCAGCAGCCGCGGUAAUACGGAGGGUGCGAGCGUUAAUCGGAAUUACUGGGCGUAAAGAGUGCGUAGGUGGUUAUUUAAGUUAUCUGUGAAAUCCCUGGGCUCAACCUGGGCAGGUCAGAUAAUACUGGAUGACUCAAGUAUAGGAGAGGGUAGUGGAAUUUCCGGUGUAGCGGUGAAAUGCGUAGAGAUCGGAAGGAACACCAGUGGCGAAGGCGGCUACCUGGCCUGAUACUGACACUGAGGCACGAAAGCGUGGGGAGCAAACAGGAUUAGAUACCCUGGUAGUCCACGCCGUAAACGAUGUCAACUAGCUGUUGGUUAUAUAAAAAUAAUUAGUGGCGC